rnacentral:rRNA from 1 species
UACGGGGGGGGCAAGCGUUGUUCGGAAUUACUGGGCGUAAAGGGCUCGUAGGCGGCCAACUAAGUCAGACGUGAAAGCCCACGGCUCAACCGUGGAGGGUCAUUGGAAACUGGGGGACUUGAGUGCAGGAGAGAAGAGUGGAAUUCCACGUGUAGCGGUGAAAUGCGUAGAGAUGUGGAGGAACACCAGUGGCGAAGGCGACUCGCUGGCCCGGUACUGACGCUGAGGCGCGAAAGCGUGGGGAGCAAACAGG